GGAGGGGUGGCCGAGUGGUCGAAGGCGGGCGACUCGAAAUCGUCUAGGCGGUGCUGAGCCGUCUCGUGGGUUCAAAUCCCACCCUCUCCG
rnacentral:tRNA from 1 species